rnacentral:tRNA from 1 species
GGGGUCAUAGCUCAGUGGUAGGGCAUGUGACUGCAGAUCAAGAGGUCACCGGUUCGAACCCGGUUGAGCCCU